rnacentral:lncRNA from 10 species
UCAAACUCCUAAGUUCAAGAGAGCUUCCCACCUCAGCCUCCUGAUUUAUAGGACUACAGGCUGCAACUAGUGCCUACCUCUCCAGGAGAGACAGUCCACUCAUUCCUGAUUGGGGCUUAAUAUUCCAGGAAGAUCUUUAAUUGAAGAUUCAUUCUACCCUCAGAAAACUAACAGAAGAUAUUGAAAACUGCCAUAUAUAUUGGAAUCUUUAAAGCACAGGAUGAAGCUAUUCUCUGAAGUUUCCUUAUCAACCUAGAAGGUGGAGUUGCCAAAGAGGAACACAAUUGCCUUUAAUCCCCUCCCUGAAGUGUCAUUAACCAGAGAAGAUUAAAAUUCAUAUCACAGAGGAAGAGAUUGAAAAUUAAACAUUACACUUGGAUCCCAGACAAACUUUGUCCUGAACCAUCGUCUGCUAUUGGUCCCAUCUAAUUUCCAAAGAAAAUUAUUUACUAGCCAUUGUCUGAGCAUUGGGCCCAUUCGAUUCCCCCUAAAAAUCACUUAUUAUCCCUCAGAUUGCCACAUUUCCCCCAUCUACCCUUCCCUGUGAAGAAGAGUGUAUAAGCAUCUGUACCUGACCGGGUUAUUGGGUCAUACUUCUGCUAUUUCCCUGGGCCAUGAAGGUUAAAAUAAAUUUAAGGAAGAAACAAAAGAAGAAGUAAGGAAGGAAAGAAGAAAUGAAGAAGAAAAGAAAAAUGAAGGACAGAAGAACUACCAAAACGUGUAACUUGACUUUUUGAUUUGAUGCAUUUUUACUGCAGUGAAUACUUUUGUUUUUCUUCCUUAAAACUGUUAAUUAAAAACCUUCCUCCACAGCUAGAAUCACACAGGAAAUAAAAGUAGGUGUGCAUAUAAACAGAGGACUGGUAACUUGAAUUUUGUAGACAAAAGUCAUCCCCUCAAGCUCUCGUCACUUGUUCAGGGAACUUGAAGGGAAAAGUGAGAUGAACUUCUUCUCACUAUGCUCUCAGUUUGAUUUUCUAUGCUUUCAGUUUGAUUUUCCUGUUUCCCAUCUUCCUGCCUUCAGGGCAAGUGUAGAAAGAUGGUUGGGACCAUGACAAUGCCAAACAGCAAGAGUCUGAGUUUAACAAGAUUUGAAAAUUUGAAUUUAUGACAGGUGACAUCAGCUUAUAAAAUCGUUGUUUCUUAUUUUCAAAUUACACUCAUUGAGAAAGAUAUUGGCAUCACAAGACAUUGAAAAAAGUAUAUUUGAUUCAUUUAAAAUAUGAAAAAAAUGCAAUCCAGGCAUUUUUGUAAACAUUCCUUUUACAUUUGGUAAAACGUUUUGAGCCCAUGUCCCAAGAUGAAAAAACUGGAAGCCAUUUACUUUUUCAUCUUAGAUGAGUAAUAAAAUAUGGCAGUUAAGUAAGAUGCUGAUAUUUAUUUUAAUUCUGGUCUAAUAUCGUUGGGUACAAGACAAAGAUGGUAAAAAUUGACAGAAGGAUUAUAUAUCUUACCACCCUCUCCCAGCUAUUUCAAGUAAAGUUUGAUGUUCCCAAAGCCCUUAUCAUUUUUCCUCACUUCCUAAGAAAAGGCAGAAUCCCUCUUUCAGCAGGUCAACAUUCUGAGGUUUCACAAGACCUCUGCUUUUAACAUGUUUGUUUUUAUAUUUUGGGAAAAAAUGCUACACAAAAUAAAAUAUUGAAC